rnacentral:rRNA from 1 species
CGGUGAUGACCAGCUUGCUGGUCGGAUCAGUGGCGAACGGGUGAGUAACACGUGAGUAACCUGCCCCAGACUCUGGGAUAAGCCUUGGAAACGAGGUCUAAUACUGGAUAUGAGAUGCCCCUGCAUGGGGAGUGUCUGGAAAGAUUUAUCGGUCUGGGAUGGACUCGCGGCCUAUCAGCUUGUUGGUGGGGUAAUGGCCUACCAAGGCGACGACGGGUAGCCGGCCUGAGAGGGCGACCGGCCACACUGGGACUGAGACACGGCCCAGACUCCUACGGGAGGCAGCAGUGGGGAAUAUUGCACAAUGGGCGCAAGCCUGAUGCAGCGACGCCGCGUGAGGGAUGAAGGCCUUCGGGUUGUAAACCUCUUUCAGCAGGGAAGAAGCGCAAGUGACGGUACCUGCAGAAGAAGCGCCGGCUAACUACGUGCCAGCAGCCGCGGUAAUACGUAGGGCGCAAGCGUUGUCCGGAAUUAUUGGGCGUAAAGAGCUCGUAGGCGGUUUGUCGCGUCUGGUGUGAAAACUCAAGGCUCAACCUUGAGCUUGCAUCGGGUACGGGCAGACUAGAGUGCGGUAGGGGUGACUGGAAUUCCUGGUGUAGCGGUGGAAUGCGCAGAUAUCAGGAGGAACACCGAUGGCGAAGGCAGGUCACUGGGCCGCAACUGACGCUGAGGAGCGAAAGCAUGGGGAGCGAACAGGAUUAGAUACCCUGGUAGUCCAUGCCGUAAACGUUGGGCACUAGGUGUGGGGCUCAUUCCACGAGUUCCGUGCCGCAGCAAACGCAUUAAGUGCCCCGCCUGGGGAGUACGGCCGCAAGGCUAAAACUCAAAGGAAUUGACGGGGGCCCGCACAAGCGGCGGAGCAUGCGGAUUAAUUCGAUGCAACGCGAAGAACCUUACCAAGGCUUGACAUACACCGGAAACUUCCAGAGAUGGUUGCCCCGCAAGGUCGGUGUACAGGUGGUGCAUGGUUGUCGUCAGCUCGUGUCGUGAGAUGUUGGGUUAAGUCCCGCAACG